AUGCUCUCUGCCUAUGUCAGGCCACAGCCUUACAAUGACUCCAUCUUGGCCGAUCAGCUGACUCAAGAACAGAUUGCUGAAUUCAAGGAAGCUUUCUCCCUAUUUGACAAAGAUGGAGAUGGCACCAUCACAACAAAGGAACUUGGAACUGCCAUGAGGUCACUGGGUCAGAACCCAACAGAAGCCGAAUUGUAGGAUCUGAUCAACAAGGUGGAUGCCAACGGUAAUGGCACCACUGACUUCCCAGAAUUUUUGACUAUGAUGGCUAGAAAAAUGAAAGAUACAGACAGCAAAGAAGAAAUUCACGAGGCAUUCCGAGUCUUUGACAAGGAUGGCAAUGGUUACAUCAGUGCGGCGGAGCUACAUCAUGUCAUGACCAACUAAGGAGAAAAACUAAGAGAUGAAGAAGUAGAUGAAGUGAUCAGAGAAGCAAAUAUUGAUGGAGAUGGGCAAGUCAACUAUGAAGAAUUUGUACAGAUGAUGAGUGCAAAAUGAAGGCCUACUUUUAACUUUUCCCCCUUCUAGAAGAAUCAAAUUGAAUCUUUUACUUAACCUCUUGCAAAAAAAAAAAAAAAAGCAAGCUCAUUUACUCAUUUUGUUUCUAUAUAGCAAAACUGAAUGUCAAAAGUACCUCCUGUCCACACACACAAAAUCUGCAUGUAUUGGUUGGUGGUCCUGUCCCCUAAAGAUCAAGCUACACAUCAGUUUUACGAUAUAAAUACUUGUACAACCUUAAUGAUAAGGAAGCACCUAGUGGACUCCUUGCAUUUCCAUUUGCUCAUGAUUAAUACACUGUUUGGGCUGGCCAGUUUUUCAUGCAUGCAGCUUGACAACUGAACACAGUCAGGCAUUUGUAUUAAAAACUAAAAAUGAAAAAACAAAUCUAAAACUUCUUCAAAUAGAUUCUAGUUCAAUUUGUUACUAUAAAUUGUCAUAGCUGAUUUACUGAAAACAAAACAUUUAAAAUUGGCUUACCUCAAGAUGCUGUGCAGAAAAAUGGGUGAAGGAUAAACUAUCUAGACGCAGCCCCACUUAGCAGGACGGCCCUCUCAUACUUACAGGCACCCCCACCCAUGGUGACCAUGACACUCAUCCCAGUGGCAUGCCAUGUGUGUUGGUUUAGCAUUGUCCUAGAGUGAAAUGGGUGUCAGGCUGUCACCAUUCACACA